AAUGAACGCUGGCGGCGUGCCUAACACAUGCAAGUCGUGCGAGAAGUUCCUUCGGGAGCGAGUAAAGCGGCGCACGGGUGAGUAACACGUAGGUAACCCUGCCCCCCAGUCUGGAACAACUAGAGGAAACUCUGGCUAAUGCCGGAUGAGACCACGAUCCCUUCGGGGGUUGCGGCCAAAGAUGGCCUCUACUUGUAAGCUAUCGCUGAGGGAUGGGCCUGCGGGCCAUUAGCUUGUUGGUGAGGUAACGGCUCACCAAGGCUGUGAUGGCUAGCUGGUCUGAGAGGAUGACCAGCCACACUGGGACUGAGACACGGCCCAGACUCCUACGGGAGGCAGCAGUGGGGAAUAUUGCGCAAUGGGCGAAAGCCUGACGCAGCGACGCCGCGUGGGUGAUGAAGGCCUUCGGGUCGUAAAGCCCUGUCGCAGGGGAAGAAUAAGCAUCGGUAUAAUACGCCGGUGCCCUGACGGUACCCUGCAAGAAAGCACCGGCUAACUCCGUG
rnacentral:rRNA from 1 species